rnacentral:rRNA from 1 species
GACGAACGCUGGCGGCGUGCUUAACACAUGCAAGUCGAACGGAAAGGUCCUGCUUUUUUGUGUUGCUCGAGUUGCUAACGGAUGAGUAACUCGUGAGUAACCUGCCUUCGCCUUUGGUAUAACUUCAGGAAACUGGGGCUUAUUCCUGAUAGGUGCUCCUGCUGCUUGGUUGGGGCUGGAAAGUUUCGUCGGUUGGGGAUGGACUUGCGGCUUCUCAGCUUGUUGGUGGGGUAGUGGAUUACCAAGGAUUUGACGGGUAGCCGGACUGAGAGGGUGACCGGGCACAGAGGGACAGAGGUACGACCCAGACUCAUACGGGAGGAAGGAGUGAAGAAUAGUGGAAGAAGGGCGGAAGGAGGAAGGAAGAACGUCGGGUGGUGGAUGACGGCCAUCGGGUUGUAAACCGCUUUCGCCAGUGAAGAAGCGUGAGUGACGGUAAUGGGUAAAGAAGCACCGGCUAACUACGUG